CGGUCUCAGUUCGGAUUGAAGGCUGAAAUUGCCUUCAUGAAGCUGGAAUUGCUAGUAAUGGCAGGUCAGCAUACUGCCGUGAAUACGUUCCCGGGCCUUGUACACACCGCCCGUCACACCAUGAGAGUUGGAAAUACCCGAAGCCUGUGAGCUAACUGUAAAGAGGCAGCAGUCGAAGGUAGAGCCAAUGAUUGGGGUGAAGUCGUAACAAGGUAGC
rnacentral:rRNA from 1 species